CCUUCCCCUUCUCCCGCGUCCCUCAGGAGUGCAGCCGCGCAGGUGGCAACUGCUGCAAGAAAUGCACACUGACUCACGACGCCAUGUGCAGCGACGGGCUCUGCUGUCGCCGCUGCAAGUACGAACCACGGGGUGUGUCCUGCCGAGAGGCCGUGAACGAGUGCGACAUCGCGGAGACCUGCACCGGGGACUCUAGCCAGUGCCCGCCUAACCUGCACAAGCUGGACGGUUACUACUGUGACCAUGAGCAGGGCCGCUGCUACGGAGGUCGCUGCAAAACCCGGGACCGGCAGUGCCAGGUUCUUUGGGGCCAUGCGGCUGCUGAUCGCUUCUGCUACGAGAAGCUGAAUGUGGAGGGGACGGAGCGUGGGAGCUGUGGGCGCAAGGGAUCCGGCUGGGUCCAGUGCAGUAAGCAGGACGUGCUGUGUGGCUUCCUCCUCUGUGUCAACAUCUCUGGAGCUCCUCGGCUAGGGGACCUGGUGGGAGACAUCAGUAGUGUCACCUUCUACCACCAGGGCAAGGAGCUGGACUGCAGGGGAGGCCACGUGCAGCUGGCGGACGGCUCUGACCUGAGCUAUGUGGAGGAUGGCACAGCCUGCGGGCCUAACAUGUUGUGCCUGGACCAUCGCUGCCUGCCAGCUUC
rnacentral:sRNA from 1 species